rnacentral:rRNA from 1 species
GAUGAACGCUGGCGGCGUGCUUAACACAUGCAAGUCGAACGGAAAGGCCCAAGCUUGCUUGGGUACUCGAGUGGCGAACGGGUGAGUAACACGUGGGUGAUCUGCCCUGCACUUCGGGAUAAGCCUGGGAAACUGGGUCUAAUACUGGAUAGGACCACUUCUUGGAUGUUGUGGUGGAAAGUUUUUUCGGUGUGGGAUGAGCUCGCGGCCUAUCAGCUUGUUGGUGGGGUAAUGGCCUACCAAGGCGUCGACGGGUAGCCGGCCUGAGAGGGUGUACGGCCACAUUGGGACUGUGAUACGGCCCAGACUCCUACGGGAGGCAGCAGUGGGGAAUAUUGCACAAUGGGCGCAAGCCUGAUGCAGCGACGCCGCGUGGGGGAGGACGGCCUUCGGGUUGUAAACUCCUUUCGCUAGGGACGAAGCGUUUUGUGACGGUACCUGGAGAAGAAGCACCGGCUAACUACGUG